GGUACCAUACCAGAAAGCCCCGGCUAACUACGUGCCAGCAGCCGCGGUAAUACGUAGGGGGCGAGCGUUAUCCGGAUUUAUUGGGCGUAAAGCGUGUGUAGGCGGUUUAUUAAGUUUAAGAUUAAAGCCUGGGGCUCAACUCCAGUAUGUCUUAAAAACUGGUAGACUUGAGUACGGUAGAGGCAAACGGAAUUUCUAGUGUAGCGGUGAAAUGCGUAGAUAUUAGAAGGAACACCAGUGGCGAAAGCGGUUUGCUGGGCCGUUACUGACGCUGAGGCACGAAAGCGUGGGGAGCAAAUAGGAUUAGAUACCCUAGUAGUCCACGCCGUAAACGAUGAGUACUAAGUGUUGGAAUUUUCCAGUGCUGAAGCUCACGUAUUAAGUACUCCGCCUGAGUA
rnacentral:rRNA from 1 species